AGUGAACGCUGGCGGUAGGCCUAACACAUGCAAGUCGAACGGCAGCACAGUAAGAGCUUGCUCUUACGGGUGGCGAGUGGCGGACGGGUGAGGAAUACAUCGGAAUCUACUUUUUCGUGGGGGAUAACGUAGGGAAACUUACGCUAAUACCGCAUACGACCUACGGGUGAAAGCAGGGGAUCUUCGGACCUUUCGCGAUUGAAUGAGCCGAUGUCGGGUUAGCUAGUUGGCGGGGUAAAGGCCCACCAAGGCGACGAUCCGUAGCUGGUCUGAGAGGAGGAUCAGCCACACUGGAACUGAGACACGGUCCAGACUCCUACGGGAGGCAGCAGUGGGGAAUAUUGGACAAUGGGCGGAAGCCUGAUCCAGCCAUACCGCGUGGGUGAAGAAGGCCUUCGGGUCGUAAAGCCCUUUUGUUGGGAAAGAAAAGCAGCAGGUUAAUACCCCGCUGUUCUGACGGUACCCAAAGAAUAAGCACCGGCUAACUUCGUG
rnacentral:rRNA from 1 species